rnacentral:lncRNA from 1 species
GGGGGGGUCCCCGCUGCCCCGGCGCCCCGCCUCCUCCAAUCAGCGGCCGCGCUGCCGGGCAGGGGUUAACCAGGGCACCCCGCGCCGGCUGAGGAGGCCGCACCUCGCCGGACGGCUGAGGGCGGGCGACGGGCGGCGCCGGCGGACGGGCCGCGACGCCAGGGAAGGUCAGGCGGCCCGGGGCGUCCUGCGACUGCCCGAGGUCGGAGGCCCGGAGGACCCGCCGCCGCCUUUGUGUCACCAGCCCCCGCCCCGCUGGACUGGCCCGGGCCGGGGCGGUUGGGCCGGCGCUGAAGAGGCUUGGCCGCCCGGGUCCACCCGUUCCCGGAUCCGCCUCGGCGGCCCCCGCGCCCGCCCAACCCCUGCCCAACCCCUCGGCUCCGCGAGUUUGGGUGAGAAGUGCGGCGGCUUUUCCCAGGGAUGGAGUUUAGAGGACGCUAAUCCUAUGUGCGAGCGGCGGACCCCGCCCGGAUUUCCCGGAGGCGCCCGGUUAGUGAGGCGACGGCGCCCACCCGCGUUCGCGGGCUCCCGACCGCCACUCCCCGGAGCCGCCGGCCCGCCCCAGCCCCGCGCGUCGCCCCGGAGGGCGGGCUGCACUCCCUCCACGCACCUGGCUGGCAGAGCGUCUCCAGGGACAAAAGGUGCCCUGGCAUCAAAGCCGAGCCCCCGCCCCCGCCGGGAUGCUGCCCUCCGGAAGGAGGGGCGCUGCCCCCAAGGUACUCUCCCCGGGCACCCAGGGGGAGGUUCCAUUUCAACCUCCGAUGAAAAACACGGCCCUCCCGGGUAUUUAGGAGGGUCUGAGGGUAAGUGCCAAGAUGGAGAAAACACACCGGCCCCUCACAGAGUAUCUCCUGAGGAAUGACAACUAUCUAGUGGGCAAGGAGGGCUUCCUGCAUAGCAGAGGGCACCCCCUCUGAUCCCCCAACGCCAAGGGAAAAAAAUCACUCUUCACCGGCUCCCCUGAGCCAGGACAGGCUCCAGUGCAGCCACCCACCUUAUAAUUUUCCGCGGAUGCUGCCUUGAUCAGAUAGAUCUGAAGAUGACUUUAAGGACUACAAGCAAAUCUCAAGGGAAAAAUUCAGACCUUGAACAACAGCCUUGAACUUUUUCAGGGUUAGACAAGUACUCCCCUGUGGAGUUUCUGCCCUUAUUUCUUCGUUCUUCUGUUAAUUCUUCCAUAUUUUAACAGAACACAGACCUGCCGAAACGACACAGGAUGGCGCUUUGCUUUUUGUUAGUUCUCCAACCUUCCAAACCCUUGGGGCACAUGCAAGCACUGUGGAAAAACUCCAUUAAACCAAGAGUCAUCUUACUCCAGAUCCCAGACUGCUUGGGAAGUUGGACAUGCAUAUUCCCAAAGAGAACAGUGUUGGAAGGAGACAGGAGAGCAGCUCGGGGGUUGGGGGUAGAGGGUAGGAAAAGAGGGCAAGAUGGAUGACUACCACUCGAGGCCAGCCUCCACUGCCUGUUAGGGCAGUAGAACCUAAGAGCCGGUCCAAGGCAACACAAAAGACAGUGAGGCUAGGUCUUUCAUUGCAGCCAACGAUCAAGAAAGCAACUCCAUCAAAUGACACUGUCUUUUAAAAAAAAAUUUUUUUUUUGAGACAGAGUCUCGCUCUGUCGCCCAGGCUGGAGUGCAGUGGUGCGAUCUUGGCUCACUGCAACCUCUGCCACCCGGGUUCAAGCAGUUCUCCCUGCCUCAGCCUCCUGAGUAGCUGAGAUUACAGGCACGCGCUACCAGGCCCGGCUAAUUUUUUUUUUUUUUGGUGGAGUCGAGGUUUUGCCAUGUUGGCCACGUUGGUCUCGAAUUCCUGACCUCAGGUGAUCCGCCCAUCUCAGCCUCCCAAAGUGCUGGGAUUUCAAGCGUUAGCCACCGCGCCCGACCAAAUGACACUGUCUUAAAUGAUUUAAUGUCUUAAAUCGGGAAAGGAGAGUAAGAGAAAGCACUCAACGGAGUCAGAGGUGUCUUGCAGCCUAGCUCUUUCCACAGACAAGCUACAUGGGCCUAUCAUCUAACCUUUUCAAGCUUCUCCGACUGCUUCUGUGUUGGAGGGAUUUGGGCUAGAGGAUCUUUUUAUUUUUUUUUAUUUUAUUUUGGUGACGGAGUCUCUCACUGUCGCCCGGGCUGAAGUGCAGUGGCGCAAUCUCAGCUCACUGCAACCUCUUUCUCCUGGGUUCACGCGAUUCUCCUGCCUCAGCCUCCCAACUAGCUGGGAUUACAGGCGCACACCACCACACCUGGCCUAUUUUUUGUAUUUUUAGUAGAGACGGGGUUUCACUAUGUUGGCCAGACUGGUCUCGAACUCCUGACCUCGUGAUCUGCCCACCUCGGCCUCCCAAAGUGCUGUGAUUACAGGCAUGAGCCACCGCACCUGGCCUGUGAUCCCAUUUUUCAAAGUAAUUAGGCUGGGUGCAGUAGCUCACGCCUGUAAUCCCAGCACUCUGGGAGGCCAAAGCGGGUGGAUCACUUGAGGCCAGCAGUUCGAGACCAGCCUGGCCAACAUGGUGAAACCCUGUGUCUACUAAAAAUACAAAAAUUAGCUCGGCAUAGUGGCACGUACCUGUACUUUCAGCUACUUGGGAGGUUGAGGCAGGAGAAUUCGCUUGAACCCGGGAGGCAGAGGUUGCAGUGAGCCAAGAUGGCACCACUGCACUCCAUUCUGGGUGACAGAGUGAGACCCUGUCUCAAAAAUAAUGAUAAUAAAAUAAAAGUAAUUAUUUAAGGCUGGGAGCGGUGGCUCAUGCCUGUAAUCACAGCACUUUGGGAGGCCGAGGUGGGUGGAUCAUGAGGUCAGGAGGUCGAGACCAUCCUGUCUAACACAGUGAAACCCUGUCUCUACUAAAAAUACAAAAAAAUUAGCCAGGCAUGGUGGCGGGCGCCUGUAGUCCCAGCUACUCGGGAGGCUGAGGCAGGAGAAUCGCUUGAACCCAGAAGGCGGAGGUUGCAGUAAGCCGAGAUCACACCACUGCACUCCAGCCUGGGUGACAGAGCGAGACUCCGUCUCAAAAAAAAUUAUUAUUAUUAUUUAAAAUAAUCAUUGGGCCUGGUGCGGUGGCUCACACCUGUAAUCCUAGCACUUUGGGAGGCCAAGGCGGGCGGAUCACGAGGUCAGGAGAUUGAGAUCCAACCUGGCCAACAUGGUGAAACCCCAUCUCUACUAAAAAUAUUUUUUUAAUUAGCUGGGCGUGGCGGCGGGCACCUGUAAUCCCAGCUAGUCGGGAGACUGAGGCAGGAGAAUCGCUUGAACCUGGGAGUCGAAGGUUUCAGUGAGCCGAGGUCGUGCCACUGCAAUCCACCUGGCCAACAGAGCAAGACUCUGUCUCUAAAAUAAUAAUUUUUAUUAUUGUUAUUCUUGACAGGCCAGUGUAGAACAGGUGGGGCAUCUAUGGUGACAGAACUGGGUUCCAAUUCUGUCCCUUCACCUGUCCCAGGUUCCUCAUCUGAAAACUGUGACCCAGUAAACCUAAUUUCAUGAGCAGCUUUCAUUAAAAUUGAAAUAAUGGUGGAAAAUGCCUUGUAACCGUGCUUGAUGUAGAGUAGUUACUUAGCCAGUUAUUUCCUCUCUUCUUCCCAUUCCUAACAAAAUGGAAAAACGUUUGGUUGCUAGGAAAGAGCCUUAAGGGGAUUUUGUUGUUGUUUGACUCUAUCGCCCAGGAUGGAGUGCAAUGGCACAAUCUCUGCUCAGUGCAACCUCCGCCAUAGACAGGAGCCAAGCGUAGUGGUGUGCACCUGUCGGUAGUUCCAGCCUCUUAGGAGGCUGAGGCAGGAGGAUUGCUUGAGGCCAGGAGUUUGAGUCUAGCUUGGGCAAUAUAUUGAAACCUUGUCUCUUAAAAAAAAAAAAAAAAAAGAGGCCAGGUGUGGUGGCUCACACCUGUAAUCCCAGCACAUUGGGAGGCCGAGGCAGUGGAUCACUUGACACCAGGAGUUCGAGACCAGCCUGGGCAACAUGCAAACUUAUGUCUUUUAGGCCGGGCGCGGUGGCUCACACCUGUAAUACCAGCACUUUGGUAGGCCGAGGCGGGCAGAUCACGAGGUCAGGAGAUCGAGACCAUCCUGGCUAAGAUGAAACCCAGUCUCUACUAAAAAUAAAAAAAAAUUAGCCGGGUGUGGUGGCUGGCGCCUGUAGUCCCGGCUACUUGGGAGGCUGAGGCAGGAGAAUGGCAUGAACCCAGGAGGUGGAGUUUGCAGUAAGCCAAGACAGCACCACUGCACUCCAGCCCAGGCAACAGAGCUAGACGCCCUCUCAAAAAAAAAAAAAAAUUACAUCUUUAAAAAAAAAUGCAGGGCCGGGUGCGGUGGCUCAUGCCUGUAAUCCCAGCACUUUGGGAGGCCGAGGCGGGCGAAUCACGAGGUCAGGAGAUCGAGAGCAUCCUGGCUAACACAGUGAAACCCUGUCUCUAGUAAAAAUACAAAAAAUUAGCCAGGCGUGGCAGCAUGCGUCUGUAGUCCCAGCUGCUGGGGAGGCUGAGGCAGGAGAAUGGCGUGAACCCAGGAGGCAGAGCUUGCAGUGAGCCAAGGUCCCGCCACUGCACUCCAGCCUGGGCGACAGAGCGAGACUCGGUCUCAAAAAAUAAUAAUUAACAAAAAAAAAAAAAUACAAAAGUUAGUUGCACAUGUUGCCAUAUGCUCGUGGUCCCAGCUACUCAGCAGGCUGAGGUUGGGAGAUCACUUGAGCCCAGAAGGUGGAGGUUGCAGUGAGCUGAGAACCCACCAUUGUACUCCAGCCUGCGUGUCAGUGAGAUUCUGUCUCAAAAAAAAAAAGAAAAGAAAAAAAAUCUAGGCUAUGCUCCCUAGUAUGGGAAAUCUAGUCUAGUCAUUUGACAGAAUCAGGCUUUGCAGGCCAUAUUGUCUCUGUC